rnacentral:misc_RNA from 1 species
GGACCACAGCUUUGCCAAUAACCUACAUCAGAAAACCUACCUUAGAAAACAAUAAUUUGAACCCUCUUAAGCAAAAACUGAUAAAAAAAAUCUCAAAACUAUUCUCUUGUACUGUAUAGUAUAAAGCAGCGAGCUAAAGCCUAGUCAUUGACUAAAACUCUUCUCUUGUACGCUAGAAAGUUAUUCACAAGCAGAAUUUACACAUCCACAACAUAUUCUUAUCAGACUACAUGAAACAGACCUGCAGGUGUUUAGGGAGUAAACUCAAUAUGAAUACUAAUAAAAUUUCAAUACUAUACCUUAUUACAACCAGGGACUA